ACGGAGGGUGCAAGCGUUAUCCGGAUUCACUGGGUUUAAAGGGCGCGUAGGCGGCGCGGUAAGUCACUUGUGAAAUCUCUGAGCUUAACUCAGAACGGCCAAGUGAUACUGCAGUGCUAGAGUGUGGAAGGGGCAAUCGGAAUUCUUGGUGUAGCGGUGAAAUGCGUAGAUAUCAAGAGGAACACCUGAGGUUAAGACGGGUUGCUGGGCCAACACUGACGCUGAUGCGCGAAAGCCAGGGGAGCAAACGGGA
rnacentral:rRNA from 1 species